GAUGAACGCUGGCGGCGUGCCUAAUACAUGCAAGUAGAACGCUGAAGGAGGAGCUUGCUCUUCUGGAUGAGUUGCGAACGGGUGAGUAACGCGUAGGUAACCUGCCUGGUAGCGGGGGAUAACUAUUGGAAACGAUAGCUAAUACCGCAUGACAACAGUUAUUGCAUGAUAACUGUUUAAAAGGGGCAACUGCUCCACUACCAGAUGGACCUGCGUUGUAUUAGCUAGUUGGUGAGGUAACGGCUCACCAAGGCGACGAUACAUAGCCGACCUAGAGGGUGAUCGGCCACACUGGGACUGAGACACGGCCCAGACUCCUACGGGAGGCAGCAGUAGGGAAUCUUCGGCAAUGGACGGAAGUCUGACCGAGCAACGCCGCGUGAGUGAAGAAGGUUGUCGGAUCGUAAAGCUCUGUUGUAAGAGAAGAACGAGUGUGAGAGUGGAAAGUUCACACUGUGACGGUAUCUUACCAGAAAGGGACGGCUAACUACGUG
rnacentral:rRNA from 1 species